rnacentral:rRNA from 1 species
GCAAGUCGAACGGAAAGACUACUAGUUUACUAAUAGUUUUUUAGUGGCGGACGGGUUAGUAACACGUGAGUAACAUGCCUCGAAGUGGGGGAUAGCCUUCCGAAAGGAAGAUUAAUACCGCAUGUGGUCUUCGGACCAAAGAUGCCUUCGGGUGUCGCUUUGAGAUUGGCUCGCGGCCUAUCAGCUUGUUGGUGAGGUAACGGCUCACCAAGGCAACGACGGGUAGCUGGUCUGAGAGGACGAUC